rnacentral:rRNA from 1 species
GAUGAACGCUGGCGGCGUGCCUAAUACAUGCAAGUCGAGCGAACAGAUAAGGAGCUUGCUCCUUUGACGUUAGCGGCGGACGGGUGAGUAACACGUGGGUAACCUACCUAUAAGACUGGAAUAACUCCGGGAAACCGGGGCUAAUGCCGGAUAACAUUUCGAACCGCAUGGUUCUAAAGUGAAAGAUGGUUUUGCUAUCACUUAUAGAUGGACCCGCGCCGGAUUAGCUAGUUGGUAAGGUAACGGCUUACCAAGGCAACGAUACGUAGCCGACCUGAGAGGGUGAUCGGCCACACUGGAACUGAGACACGGUCCAGACUCCUACGGGAGGCAGCAGUAGGGAAUCUUCCGCAAUGGGCGAAAGCCUGACGGAGCAACGCCGCGUGAGUGAUGAAGGUCUUCGGAUCGUAAAACUCUGUUAUUAGGGAAGAACAAAUGUGUAAGUAACUGUGCACGUCUUGACGGUACCUAAUCAGAAAGCCACGGCUAACUACGUG